rnacentral:rRNA from 1 species
GACGAACGCUGGCGGCGUGCCUAAUACAUGCAAGUCGAGCGGACCGAACAGGAGCUUGCUCUUGUUCGGUUAGCGGCGGACGGGUGAGUAACACGUGGGUAACCUGCCCGUAAGACCGGGAUAACUCCGGGAAACCGGAGCUAAUACCGGAUAACACCGAAGACCGCAUGGUCUUUGGUUGAAAGGCGGCUUCGGCUGCCACUUACGGAUGGGCCCGCGGCGCAUUAGCUAGUUGGUGAGGUAACGGCUCACCAAGGCGACGAUGCGUAGCCGGCCUGAAAGGAUGGCCGGCCACACUGGGACGGAGACACGGCCCAGACUCCUACGGGAGGCGGCGGUAGGGAGUCUUCCGCAAUGGACGAAAGUCUGACGGAGCGACGCCGCGUGAGCGAAGAAGGUCUUCGGAUCGUAAAGCUCUGUUGUUAGGGAAGAAGAAGCGUCGUUCGAACAGGGCGGCGCGGUGACGGUACCUAACGAGAAAGCCCCGGCUAACUACGUG